rnacentral:rRNA from 1 species
UCAUGUUGUUUAAUUCGAUGAUACGCGAAGAACCUUACCAGGUCUUGACAUCCCCCGCGAUGCUUUAGAGAUAAAGCGGAGGUAUUCGGGGAGACAGGUGGUGCAUGGUUGUCGUCAGCUCGUGUCGUGAGAUGUGGGUUAAGUCCCGCAACGAGCGCAACCCCUAUUGCUAGUUACCAUCAUUAAGUUGGGGACUCUAGCGAGACUGCCAGUGAUAAACUGGAGGAAGGUGGGGAUGACGUCAAAUCAUCAUGCCCCUUAUGACCUGGGCUACAAACGUGAUACAAUGGCUGGAACAAAGGGAUGCGAAGCAGUGAUGUGGAGCGAAACCCAUAAAAACAGUCUCAGUUCGGAUUGAAGUCUGCAACUCGACUUCAUGAAGUCGGAAUCGCUAGUAAUCGCGGAUCAGAACGCCGCGGUGAAUACGUUCUCGGGGUUU